CCUACGGGAGGCAGCAGUGGGGGAUAUUGCACAAUGGGCGGAAGCCUGAUGCAGCGACGUCGCGUGAGGGAUGGAGGCCUUCGGGUUGUGAACCUCUUUCGCCGGUGAAGAAGGUCCUGCCUUGUGUGGUGGGGUUGACGGUAGCCGGGUAUGAAGCGCCGGCUAACUACGUGCCAGCAGCCGCGGUAAUACGUAGGGCGCGAGCGUUGUCCGGAAUUAUUGGGCGUAAAGGGCUUGUAGGCGGCUGGUCGCGUCUGCCGUGAAAUCCUCUGGCUCAGCUGGGGGCGUGCGGUGGGUACGGGCUGGCUUGAGGGCGGUAGGGGAGGCUGGAACGCCUGGUGUAGCGGUGGAAUGCGCAGAUAUCAGGAGGAACACCGGUGGCGAAGGCGGGUCUCUGGGCCGUUACUGACGCUGAGGAGCGAAAGCGUGGGGAGCGAACAGGAUUAGAUACCCUAGUAGUC
rnacentral:rRNA from 1 species